rnacentral:rRNA from 1 species
UUCAUGUCUGGAAUAAUAACGCCGAAAGGGGUACGUAAUACCGGAGUAUUCUUGCUUUUCAUAAGUUAUGCAAGCAAAGGUGGCCUCUGCAUAUGCUACUGCAUGAAGAGGGGUCUGCGUACCAUUAGCUAGUAGGUGGGGUAAGUGGCCGUACCUAGGCGACGAUGGUUAGCGGGUCUGAGAGGAUGAUCCGCCACACUGGCACUGGAACACGGGCCAGACUCCUACGGGAGGCAGCAGUGAGGAAUAUUGCGCAAUGGGGGAAACCCUGACGCAGCGACGCCGCGUGAAGUGAGGAAGGCCUUCGGGUCGUAAAGCUCUGUCAAGAGGAAAGAAGUGUACAAUGGCUAAUACCUGUUGUAUUUGACGGUACCUCUAAAGGAAGCACCGGCUAACUCCGUGCCAGCAGCCGC